rnacentral:rRNA from 1 species
GUCUAUAGCCAUGUGACCCUAACGUGUCUGAUCUCGUCUGAUCUCGGAAGCUAAGCAGGGUCGGGCCUAGUUAGUACUUGGAUGGGAGACCAUCUAGGAAUACUAGGUGCUGUAGGUG